GCCAGUAGGCGCAGUGAGCAUCUUCUAAGCAACUGAAAGGCCUACAUUUUCAGGAUUUUUUAACAAUAAGUUAAUAAUGAUAGCCGUGCCAUACUAAUUAAGAAUUUUUUAUUUAUUUGAUGCAGUAACCCAAAGUCAAGUGCCAAUUCUGGAAAGGGCAGAAAUAAUGACAACUGCAAUGAUUUUGCUGAUGCCAACAUAUAUGGAAACUUGUAGCUGAUGCCAGCACAUUUGAUCAAGACACAAUGGAAGAUGUCACCAGAAAAAUUUGCGGUUCCUUUUUCCUUUUCCCCUGGUCUUUCUCAGUUCAUUUCAUUUGUGCUUCUUUCUUUCUUAAUAGUUACAUCAAUGUGUUUGAAAUAACACAGGGAAUCUUAGCUUCUGUUUAGCUGAUCUGGCAUAAUCAUAUAUAUAACCCAUAAUUAACACUAGGCUUCCUGGAUUUACUUACUCACUUCUAACACUUUCCAUUGCUUUAAACAACUUCAAAUAAUGAACAUUUCUGUCAUUUCUUGCACUAGAUUUUCACGUGACCAUAUUACCUGUGUUCUUCCAAUAUACCUAUAUACAAUGUGUACCAAUACAACUUCGUACUAUGCAUUUUUUGUUAAUGACAAAUAAAGAAUUGCCACCUCA